rnacentral:rRNA from 1 species
AUUGAACGCUGGCGGCAGGCCUAACACAUGCAAGUCGAACGGUAACAGGAAACAGCUUGCUGUUUCGCUGACGAGUGGCGGACGGGUGAGUAAUGUCUGGGAAACUGCCUGAUGGAGGGGGAUAGCUACUGGAAACGGUAGCUAAUACCGCAUAACGUCGCAAGACCAAAGAGGGGGACCUUCGGUCCUCUUGCCAUCGGAUGUGCCCAGAUGGGAUUAGCUAGUAGGUGGGGUAACGGCUCACCUAGGCGACGAUCCCUAGCUGGUCUGAGAGGAUGACCAGCCACACUGGAACUGAGACACGGUCCAGACUCCUACGGGAGGCAGCAGUGGGGAAUAUUGCACAAUGGGCGCAAGCCUGAUGCAGCCAUGCCGCGUGUAUGAAGAAGGCCUUCGGGUUGUAAAGUACUUUCAGCGGGGAGGAAGGGAGUAAAGUUAAUACCUUUGCUCAUUGACGUUACCCGCAGAAGAAGCACCGGCUAACUCCGUGCCAGCCGCCGCCGUAA